GACGAACGCUGGCGGCGUGCUUAACACAUGCAAGUCGAACGAUGAAAGAGGAGCUUGCUCCUCUGGAUUAGUGGCGAACGGGUGAGUAACACGUGAGCAAUCUGCCACUGACUCCGGAAUAACUACGGGAAACUGUAGCUAAUACCGGAUAUGCGCCGAACAGGCAUCUGUAUCGGUGGGAAAGAAUUUCGGUCAGGGAUGAGCUCGCGGCCUAUCAGCUUGUUGGUGAGGUAACGGCUCACCAAGGCGACGACGGGUAGCCGGCCUGAGAGGGUGACCGGCCACAUUGGGACUGAGACACGGCCCAGACUCCUACGGGAGGCAGCAGUGGGGAAUAUUGCACAAUGGGCGCAAGCCUGAUGCAGCAACGCCGCGUGAGGGAUGACGGCCUUCGGGUUGUAAACCUCUUUUAGCAGGGAAGAAGCGAAAGUGACGGUACCUGCAGAAAAAGCGCCGGCUAACUACGUG
rnacentral:rRNA from 1 species